GCUGUCGCGAGGCAGGGUCUGAAGGAAGCCGGAGGCAAACCCCGGACUCGACGAACAGGAACCGGAUAGAAGGCCGGCGCGGCAGGAUAACCCGGCAUUGGACGGGAAGGCCCGAUAACCAUUCGGAUGUGCGCGUUGGUAAAUCCGGCGAGGGCCGGGGGAAAGCGUCAUGU
rnacentral:ncRNA from 1 species